UAUAGUAAGACGUUAAGAAUUCAAGUGCAAACUUUGGAGCAUACUGAUCUAAUUAAAAAAAAAUGAGUCGACCUCAGAGUUUGACCAGAAAGGAAUCAAGUUACCAUCCCACUGAUAUAAAGCUUCCGGGCUUGGGUAAGUUUAAACCAAUUUUGUAUUAAAAAUGUUUUGAAGUUGAUAAUUUUAAUGGUUGAACAAAACGAGAGAAAAUCAGGAUCCGUUACAUUUCAACAAAAUUAUGGAGGAAAACGAAACAUGAGCCCGAAUAUCACUUUUACGUGUCCAUGAAAUCUUGCAUAUUUACAUGGUUUUAACAUUAUUUCUUGUACAUAAUGAUCAUGUAGAUUAGGAAUUAGGCAUUUUUAGGGUCCAUUUUACAUUACAUGGGUCUUUAUUAGGGGCUAGAGUGUGCUAUGGAGUUUUUGGAGGUGUUUAGAGACAUUUGUGGUACAAAAGGGUGAAAGAUGAACAUGGAUGCAGACCUUAAAGAUAUCUUUUGAAGCUCAUGUUUUGGGAUGACGUGAGAAAUUGAGUUAUCUUUCUAAUGGAAGUGGUUUCAAGUCAUUUGGAGCUGUAUUGGAGGAGUUAUGAUCGAUUUACUAGAGGCAUAUCAACCCUGAUGCGGGUUGUACCAACUUGGGUUCCCUUACCCGGGCGCGAGAAGAGGAAGCUGGACAAGGAGCUGGCGCGGGUUGCGACCAUGGCAUCUACCCAGGUCGCGUCUUUACCUUGGCCGAAAAUCAACAUUUUUAAAGGGCAUUCUAGACUUUUCUAUGGAAACUAUUAGGUUUUCCAAAAACCAUAUAAAUACUCUUGUAAUCCCCAAGUUGGGAUUUAUCUCAUUUUCUCUCAAGAACUUUGUCUAAACUUGUAAAAGUUUGAAUCUUUUGAUAAUCUAAGGAAGUAUUUCAUCUUAUAUUUGUGUUUCUCUUGCUCAUUAACAUGAUUAGCCUUGAUCCUUACAUGGGUUUAAGGUUUCUCAUGGAAAUUAAUGAGUAGUGACCUUGUGAUUCAUGGGUUGGAUAGAUUAGGGUGAUUAGGUGGAUAUUUAGGAUGUUUAUGGUUUGAUUAACAUUGUUCUAUGCUUGAUAAGUGUACUUAAUGCUAGAUUAGACUUGAUCACUCUCAUCUAGACUUUAAGCUAUUUUACGCCCGAAAAGUGUUUGUUAAAAUGCUUGAAUGAGCUUAGUAUUGUCUUUUACAUAUUCGGCCAACGAUAGUUGAUGUCCGAGAUGUUUAAGUGGUUAGUAGACUUGUGAUUCAUGCAUGCUUGAUUGCUUUAGCCAACGACAGUUGAUGUUUAAUUCAUGAUUAACAUAGGGGUUUUUGCCACGACAGUGGAUUAAUCUAUAUUGAAUGAGAUCUCGACCUAUAGACUUGUUGAUUGUUUUGUUUGAACAUCCUAGAUUGAACCUUGAUCACCUUAUAUCAAUUAUCAUUGCCCAUGGAUACAUCCUUAGCAUUUGGUUGAAUUCUUGCACUUAUUUCUUGAUUGGAUUUGAGAUCACCUUGUUUAUAUUUCUAGGAUAUUAGUUUGUUACAAAUCAUUCAUCUUCUUGUUUGCUUAGAUUAAGGAAGCUUGUAUAUUCUUGGUGUUAUAGAUCAUUUGUUCCUUGUGGAUUUGAUCCUAAAAUGCUACAAUGACAUACCAUUCGAUUGUGGUAUUGUUGGCAUAUUAGGUUAAUUGGUGUGUGCUUAAACGCCUAAUCAAUUUGGCGCCGUUGCCGGGGAACUAAGUAGAUUUGUCACUAGGAUUUCAAACUUUCUUGAGAUUAAGCUUUAUUUUCUUAUGCUUUAUUUUGCUUUUGUAUAGCUACUAACCAUUUAUUCUAGUUUUUUGCUAUUUGCAGUGAUGGCAGCAAGCCAUUUUGUUUGGCCACAAGAAGAGGAAAACACACUUAAGAUCAUAUUGAUGAUGAUGAGUCAAUGUGGAGGAGCCAUUUGAUGAAAGUAUACUCACACCAGAACAAAGUGUAAAGGCGGAUGAGCUUUGCAAAGAGAACCCAAUGUUGACAAGGGAGGACAUGGCAGUCAUGCUUAGGCUAAAUCUUAUGUCAUAUCGGGCAACACUAGAAGGAAGAGAGCUCAUAAGCAUUGAGAUAAGAAUGGCUCAACAGCUCAAAGAGGUAUUUUAUUGGGUUCCACCAACCCAACUAGAAGGUAUAUGCAAUUUGACUUUGGAACUUCAUUUUGAGGAUAUUUGCUUGCCAUGUGUUGAAGAGAUUGCCUCUAAUUUGAAUUCUCAUGUGCUCAUCAAUGAAUUUCUUGAUCUAAUAUGUGAAACUAAAAACUAGAUGACUUGAGAGUAGAAAAGCUUGCUAGAGAUCAUAUUGAAGUUUGUUUUGUCAAGAACUAUCUUUGUGCUUCCAUUGAUCUUGAAUCUGAAUUUUUGAUGCUUGAUGAACCUAGGUCUCUUCUUGAACUUGCUGAUUUAGGGGAUGAACUUGAUGUUGAUAGGCUCUUGCUUGAGAUAGAAAUCUCCCUUGUCAAAAACUUUCAUGAGAAUGAGAACAUUGUGUUUUAUUUGAUUGAUGGAGAUAUAGUUGACUACUUUGUUAAAACUUCUUGUGUUUCCCCCAAAUGCUUUUGAUUCUCAUGAUCAUCUGAACCUCAAGGAACAUUUCAUAAUUCAUGCCACAUCUUUAGUGAAGCUCUUUGAGGAAAAAUCUGUCUAUUUUUAUGGACAGUAGUGUGCUCAUUUGCAUACUUGGUUCCUUGUUCUUGUAGGAGAAGGACCAAAGGUGCAUUGGCUCAACCUUUUGAUACUUAUGAUUAGCAAGCACACAAAGUCAAGCUAGAGACUUAAAACAAGCUCACUUGGGAAGAAGCCCCAUGUUUAUCCAUUGUAUAUAUUUCUUUAUCUUUCUUUCUUUUAGGUUGUUUAAUAAGUAUGGUUGAGGUCUUUCAGGUUGAGUCUAGAGCCAAUAAGAGAGGAAAGGCUGCCAAGCAUUGCUACUCUAAACACCCAUUAUCACACCCCAGUCUCCAUUUGAGUUAUGGUCAAGUGAUAAAACAGAAGAAAGGCUGGAGUAACAAGCAGAUAGUAGAGUAACAUAAGACGUCGUCAUCCUUGCUCAGUCACGAGCGCAUUUAACAUUACCGACGCCGCCUGACAUCAGAACGGAGAAGAAACAAAGAAAAAGAAAGAGUGGAAAACGCUUCACAUCUAUUUUCAACUGCUAGAAAUACACACCACAUCUAUUUUUCCCCAUCGUGAAGUUUUCCCUUAAGAGAUCAUAGUUACAGACUAUCAGAUAAAUGUGAGAAGAAAAAUGAGAUAUGAAGAUUUCAGAGAGUUUUAACAUGAGAUGGAAAAAAAAAAACAUUCAGAGAUGGAAGAAAAAAAUUGAGAGGCUGAGACAGAAAAAUGUUAGUAAAGAAGAAAGAGGAGGAGCUUAGUCUAAUAAUGGCUAUAGAUAAGUUUUUACAGUUUUGAUGUGUGUAAUAAUGGCUACAGAUAAAAGAAAAGGAAGAGGAUGGGUGGAGGAUUUUUUUUUAUUUCAUGGGAGAAUUUUUUUUUUUGUCAAGCAAAUCUA